GCGGGAUGCUUUACACAUGCAAGUCGAACGGCAGCGCGGACUUCGGUCUGGCGGCGAGUGGCGAACGGGUGAGUAAUGUAUCGGAACGUACCCAGUAGCGGGGGAUAACUACGCGAAAGCGUGGCUAAUACCGCAUACGCCCUUUGGGGGAAAGCGGGGGACCUUCGGGCCUCGCACUAUUGGAGCGGCCGAUAUCGGAUUAGCUAGUUGGUGAGGUAAAGGCUCACCAAGGCGACGAUCCGUAGCUGGUUUGAGAGGACGACCAGCCACACUGGGACUGAGACACGGCCCAGACUCCUACGGGAGGCAGCAGUGGGGAAUUUUGGACAAUGGGGGCAACCCUGAUCCAGCCAUCCCGCGUGUGCGAUGAAGGCCUUCGGGUUGUAAAGCACUUUUGGCAGGGAAGAAAAGGUGCCGGUGAAUACCCGGCGCCGCUGACGGUACCUGCAGAAUAAGCACCGGCUAACUACGUGCCAGCAGCCGCGGUAAUACGUAGGGUGCAAGCGUUAAUCGGAAUUACUGGGCGUAAAGCGUGCGCAGGCGGCUCGGAAAGAAAGAUGUGAAAUCCCAGGGCUUAACCUUGGAAUGGCAUUUUUAACUCCCGAGCUAGAGUAUGUCAGAGGGGGGUAGAAUUCCACGUGUAGCAGUGAAAUGCGUAGAGAUGUGGAGGAAUACCGAUGGCGAAGGCAGCCCCCUGGGAUAAUA
rnacentral:rRNA from 1 species